GUGGUGUAGCAGGGGUGGUGAAAACAGUCUUUUUUCCAUUGGUAGAACAUAUUCCUUUCCUGAUUUCUAAGGCAGAAGGAUCAGAAAUGUCUGAGCUUGACUCUUUUUCAGGGGCUUUAAAAAUUGAAUCCUCAGUGAACCAGGGGAGGAACAAAUGAUGAAGUCUUCAAGAGUUUUAGUAGUGAUCCUGUGGCUUCAGUUACCCUGGACGAGGAGCCAGCAGAAGGGAGUGGAGCAGAGUCCUGCAUCUCCGCCUAUUCCAGAGGGAGCCAAUGCCUCUCUCAACUGCAGCUAUAGUGACAGUGCUUCUCUGUACUUCACAUGGUACAGGCAGUAUCCUGGGAAAGGCCCUGAGUUGCUGCUGUACACGGCCUCCAAUGAGCCCAAAGAGGAUGGAAGAUUUGCCAUGCAGGUCAAUAAAACCAGCAAGCAUGUCUCCCUGCUCAUCAGAGACUCCCAGCCCAGUGACUCAGCCACCUACCUGUGUGCAGUGAGCACACAGUGCUCCCACCACAGCUGCAGCCUGUACCAAAACCUGCUGGGGCCCCAGCGAUGCCUGAUAGAGAGCUUAGGCUGUAGAGCAGAGCAGCUCUGUUGGCUCUCUGGAUGCACAUGAGAAUUAAGAGUAACCCUAUGGAAGGUUUGGCUGAUUAGGGAAGCAUUUUCAUACAUCUGAAAACAAGUGGCCCUGAAAGGAAAUUAAGGAUACAAUACUG